CCUCUCAAAGUGAGCCUGAGACCUGCAGACCUCAAAGUGGUGAAUAGCUAUGUGGUAAUCAUGUAAGAGUGCUAUUAUGUUUUAUUUCAGACCUCAAAGUGAGCCUAAGAGUGUCAUUAUGUUUUAUUUCAGACCUCAAAGUGGUAAAUAGCUAUCUUAUAACAUAUAUGAGAAAUUCCACAACAAUAAAGUUUCAUCACAAUCAUUAUAGUUAAGGGAGAAAUAUAACGAAAAAAGAGGGGAAAUUCAAAUCAUAGAGUAUCUAAACAAAAUAGAUCACAACCAUGAUCAAUUGACGAAUAAAAUAAACUGAUGGAAUCCAUGCAUUAUCACAGCGUGGUCACAACGUUUACCAUGCCACCGUGUACGUAGUGCAAGCCUAUCUACAUAUGGUUUUUAAUAAGAGCCACAUCUAAGCAACCAAAUUAGUCAAAUCAACAGUCAAGCGAGAGCGCGGAGACAGAGGUUCACACGCCUAGCAGAAUCCUCCACAAAGAAAAUAAUCCUAUAACAAAACCCCUCUAACAUCCAGGCAGGAUAAGACAUGAUAAAAGAUAGUACCUCAUAAUACAUAUUAUCAAUAUCCAUCUGCAUGUCUGUAUGCCAAUCAUAGGAGGAAAAAGCACCCAAAUAUAGGCUUAGCCUCUAGUAUUAGCAAUUGCUACAAGAAAGUUUAUUCAAGUUUCAAGGCAAAAGAAAUGUGAUAACAAAUUUCUGGAGCAAAGAAUAAAAAAGGCUAACAACAUGAUUAGCGACACAUGCUCCUUCUGCUCCUGCUAAUUGCCCCUCUAGUCAUUCAGCUGCAUGGAUGGAACAAAUAUUAACCUUCAUUAAAAUUACGGACAACAGCAGCACACAAUUAUUUAGUUAACAAUAAUUUACAAGUAGCUAAAAUUACUCAUGUUCCCUAGUCUUGGGGGUAUAUGUCUAGUGAGUUUGUUGCCACAUAAAUAGCUGAAACAAAAAGUAAUCAAACGAUUAAUAAAAGAAAAGAAGAGAACCUUGGGGAAAGAAUGGUUGACUAAAUGGUUGACACUGUUGCAUGUUAGUCUAAAUUGGAAAUAAUGGUCGACACUGAGGUUGAUUGCUCUGAAUUUGAAAGAAUGGUUGACACUGCUGCUUCUUGGUCUAAAGUGGAAACAAUGGUCGGCAGUGAGGCUGCUUGCUCUGAAUUUGUAAGAAUGGUCGACACUGCCGCUGCUUGGUUUGAGUUAGAAUGAUUGACUGAAAUUGUUGCUGCUUUGUCUAAAUUUAAAUGAAUGGUUCACAGCUGCUGCUGCAGUUUUGUGUCCAGGUGAAUUGUCUGGUUUGUGUCGACUGAAUGUUGAUUGCAGCAGCAGCAGCAGGUGAUUCAUAGUGAGGAAGCAGUGAAUUGGUGAAAUAUCUGUGGAUGAAAUUCAGUCAGCAGCAGUGCAAAGAUGUGGGAAAUAGAAAGAAGGCCACUAAGAGGAGCUGGGCAGAAAGGUAACCACAUUUCUCAUGAAACUCUUUACAAAUCUAUAGAGUUGUGAACAUAAAUCUUUUCAACCUCACGUUAUGGUACAUAUGUAUAGAGUAAUUGUUGCAGAGAACACACGGUAUAUAAAAAAUCUAGCAGACUGAAGUUAAAUGUGAACAAGUCCAAAUACCAAUGGAUGCUUUGAUGGUCUGGUUCCCUUCAGACACAAUUUGCGGUGUGAUUAAACAAGAUAAUAACAAAUUGAUAAGUACUUCGCUUAAUAUUGAAAACAAUCAAAAUAAAAAACAAAUUAUCAGUACACAGCUCACCCGAGAUCUUCAAAAAGAAGUAUUUACAAUAGAAGUAUGAAGAAUUGAGUUGGUAUGCUUUCCUGCAGUUUGCCAUUUGGUCCUGCAGAUUCCAUGAGCUACGAGUUCUGUCCUCCUCUCCCUCCUAAUCUUUCUCUGAAAUGGUAUGAAGCAAGAGCAUUUACUGCUGCCAGGCACCUCUCAACAACAUUGCUAUC
rnacentral:lncRNA from 1 species